GACGAACGCUGGCGGCGUGCUUAACACAUGCAAGUCGAACGGAAAGGCCCUGCUUUUGUGGGGUGCUCGAGUGGCGAACGGGUGAGUAACACGUGAGUAACCUUCCCUUGACUUUGUGAUAACUUCAGGAAACUGGGGCUAAUACCGGAUAGGAGCUCCUGCUGCAUGGUGGGGGUUGGAAAGUUUCGGCGGUUGGGGAUGGACUCGCGGCUUAUCAGCUUGUUGGUGGGGUAGUGGCUUACCAAGGCUUCGACGGGUAGCCGGCCUGAGAGGGUGAACGGCCACAUUGGGACUGAGAGACGGACCAGAGUCCUACGGGAGGCAGCAGUGGGGAAUAUUGCACAAUGGGCGGAAGCGUGAUGCAGCGGCGCCGCGUGCGGGAUGACGGCCUUCGGGUUGUGAACCGCUUUCGGCUGUGACGAAGCGUGAGUGACGGUAAUGGGUAAAGAAGCACCGGCUAACUACGUG
rnacentral:rRNA from 1 species